UUUUUCUAUAAAAAACAAAGUUGAUUUCGAACACAAUGAAGAUCAUAGUGUGUUAUAACAAAAAAAUUCUUUAAAACUUCAUUACUUACACGAUAAUGAUUAUCUUGGCUCCAAACUUCGUAAAUAAACAAGAUAAACACUUCUUGAGCAUCAAUGUACGUUCGCAAUUAAUGUUUUUUCCUGGGUUCAUUUUUAACUCAACAAUUAUUAUCAAUAAUUUUAUAAUAUUAUAACAUGUAAUAAUGAUUUUGCAUUAAUUAUAACAACAGUCACGUCUAAACUUUUUGGGCCAUUAAAUGUUUAUGUCACUUCGUUUUUAAUAAAAAAAACCUCCCUUCUAAUUGUACAGCUGCACUCCUCAACGUGAAACAAAAAUAUCUUCAACUAAACCGGAACAGUGUACCUAACUAAACCUGACUAACUAAACUGUACAUUCAACAGUUUCUUAGCUCUAGCAGCAAGGGCAAAAGGGUCAAAUUUCAGCUGAAAAGACAAAACGUGAAAACCACUUUUCACUUUGUCAAUCUCUGAAAAUAAAACAUGGUCAAAGGGUGUGGUCCGCAAAUUACCCUUUAUAAUACCAUGUCAAUGUGAACAAAAGAAGAAGAAUAAUGUGUUGGUCAUGAGAAGAAGAUAUGACAAAUCUAUCUAGUUUUCGAAAUAGCGCACUACCAGUUAGACAAAAAUGAAGUCUAGUAGAGCAGGCAUGAAGCCAA
rnacentral:sRNA from 1 species